AGAAAUUCGAUUCCGUAAGUAGCGGCGAGCGAACGCGGAUUAGCCCAAACCAAUAAAGUUUUCUUUAUUGGGGUUGCGGACAUAUCAUAACGAAGAGGUAUCGUAAUUGAAGAGGUUUGGAAAGACCCACCACAGAAGGUAAUAGUCCUGUAUGUUAAACGACAAGACUUUAGAUAUGAGCGAGAGUACCCCGGGACACGUGAAACCCUGUGGGAAGCAGGAGGGACCACCAUCCAAGGCUAAAUCUUACCGAGUUAUCCAUAGCGUAUAGUACCGGCGGGGAAAGGUGCAAACAACCCCGGGCGGGGAGGGAAAUAGAACCUGAAACCCUGCACUUACAAGCUGUGGAAGCACAUUUCUUGUGUGACCGCGUACUUUUUGUAGAACGGGCCAACGAGUUACGUUAAGUAGCAAG
rnacentral:rRNA from 1 species